AACGAACGCUGGCGGCAGGCUUAACACAUGCAAGUCGAACGCCCCGCAAGGGGAGUGGCGCACGGGUGAGUAACGCGUGGAUAUCUGCCUUUUGGUUCGGAAUAACCCCGGGAAACCGGGGCUAAUACCGGAUGGUUCCUACGGGAUAAAGAUUUAUCGCCAAAAGAUGAGUCCGCGUACGAUUAGCUAGUUGGUGAGGUAAUGGCUCACCAAGGCGACGAUCGUUAGCUGGUCUGAGAGGACGAUCAGCCACACUGGGACUGAGACACGGCCCAGACUCCUACGGGAGGCAGCAGUGGGGAAUAUUGGACAAUGGGGGCAACCCUGAUCCAGCCAUGCCGCGUGAGUGAUGAAGGCCUUCGGGUUGUAAAGCUCUUUUGGCGGGGACGAUGAUGACGGUACCCGCAGAAUAAGCCCCGGCUAACUUCGUG
rnacentral:rRNA from 1 species